ACAAACUUGGUCAUUUAGAGGAAGUAAAAGUCGUAACAAGGUCUCCGUAGGUGAACCUGCGGAGGGAUCAUUACCGAGUUCGUGCCCCACCGCGGGGUAGAUCUCCCACCCUUUGUGUAUCCUUGCUCUUGUUGCUUUGGCAGGCCGCUGGGCGUCAAGCCUGGCCACCGGCUCCCCUGGAGCUGGUGCGUGCCUGCCAGAGGAUCUCCAAACUCGUGUUUGUCAGUGUCGUCUGAGCAUUAUUGCAAUUGUUAAAACUUUCAACAACGGAUCUCUUGGUUCUGGCAUCGAUGAAGAACGCAGC
rnacentral:misc_RNA from 1 species